ACAUGCUUACAUCAUAGCAUUAAUUCACCAUAUCCCAUUAGAACUUCAUAGUUAAGCGUGCUCAGGCCAAAAUACUACUGGGAUGGGUGACCGCUUGGGAAGUCCUAAUGUUUUACAUGCC
rfam:Picea glauca, whole genome shotgun sequence.